rnacentral:SRP_RNA from 1 species
GCCGGGCGUGGUAGCGCAUGCCUGUAGUCCCAGCUACUCAGGAGGCUGAGGCAGGAGAAUCGCUUGAACCCGGGAGGCAGAGGUUGCAGUGAGCCGAGAUCGCACCACUACACUCCAGCCUGGGUGACAGAGCGAGACUCUGUCUCAA